rnacentral:rRNA from 1 species
UGGGGAAUAUUGGACAAUGGACCGAAAGUCUGAUCCAGCAAUUCUGUGUGCACGAUGAAGUUUUUCGGAAUGUAAAGUGCUUUCAGUUGGGAAGAAAGAAAUGACGGUACCAACAGAAGAAGUGACGGCUAAAUACGUGCCAGCAGCCGCGGUAAUACGUAUGUCACGAGCGUUAUCCGGAUUUAUUGGGCGUAAAGCGCGUCUAGGUGGUUAUGUAAGUCUGAUGUGAAAAUGCAGGGCUCAACUCUGUAUUGCGUUGGAAACUGUAUAACUAGAGUACUGGAGAGGUAAGCGGAACUACAAGUGUAGAGGUGAAAUUCGUAGAUAUUUGUAGGAAUGCCGAUGGGGAAGCCAGCUUACUGGACAGAUACUGACGCUAAAGCGCGAAAGCGUGGGUAGCAAACAGG